GACGAACGUUGGCGGCGUGCCUAAUACAUGCAAGUCGAGCGGUAAGGCCCUUUCGGGGGUACACGAGCGGCGAACGGGUGAGUAACACGUGGGUGACCUGCCCUCAGCUCUGGGAUAAGCCUGGGAAACCGGGUCUAAUACUGGAUAUGACUCCAUGACGCAUGUUGUGGGGUGGAAAGCCUUGUGCGGCUGAGGAUGGGCCCGCGGCCUAUCAGCUUGUUGGUGGGGUGAUGGCCUACCAAGGCGACGACGGGUAGCCGGCCUGAGAGGGCGACCGGCCACACUGGGACUGAGACACGGCCCAGACUCCUACGGGAGGCAGCAGUGGGGAAUCUUGCGCAAUGGGCGAAAGCCUGACGCAGCGACGCCGCGUGAGGGAUGACGGCCU
rnacentral:rRNA from 1 species